rnacentral:rRNA from 1 species
GGAAUUGCUAGUAAUCGCGGAUCAGCAAGCCGCGGUGAAUACGUUCCCGGGCCUUGUACACACCGCCCGUCACACCAUGAGAGUCGGGAACACCCGAAGUCCGUAGUCUAACCGCAAGGAGGGAGCUGCCUAAGGUGGGGUAGAUGAUUGGGGGUGAAGUCGUAACAAGGUAGC